rnacentral:tRNA from 2 species
GCCCGUAUAGCUCAGCCGGUAGAGCAUUGUACUUAUGAUGCAAGGGUCUCGAGUUCGAAUCUCGAUAUGGGCA